rnacentral:rRNA from 1 species
GACGAACGCUGGCGGCGUGCUUAACACAUGCAAGUCGAACGAAGUGGCGAACGGGUGAGUAACGCGUAAUCAACCUGCCCUUCAGAGGGGGACAACAGUUGGAAAAGACUGCUAAUACCGCAUACUGAAGGAGGGGAUUGCGUCUGAUUAGCUAGUGGGAGGGGAAACGGCCCAACAAGGCGAUGAUCAGUAGCCGGUCUGGGAGGAUGAACGGCACAAUUGGGACUGGAGCAACGGCCAGACUCCUACGGGAGGCAGCAGUGGGGGAACUUCCGGAAUGGACGAAAGUCUGACGGAGCAACGCCGGGUGAGUGAUGACGGCCUUCGGGUUGUAAAGCUCUGUUAAUCGGGACGCGGUACCGGAAUAGAAAGCCACGGCUAACUACGUGCCAGCAGCCGCGGUAAUAC